rnacentral:rRNA from 1 species
AACGAACGUUAGCGGCGCGCCUAACACAUGCAAGUCGAGCGAGAAAGGGCUUCGGCCCCGGUAAAGCGGCGCACGGGUGAGUAACACGUGGAUAACCUACCCCUUGGUGGUGGAUAACCUUCCGAAAGGAGGGCUAAUACAGCGUAAGACCACGACUUCGAAAGAGGUUGGGGUAAAAGUGGGCCUCUGUACACAAGCUCACGCCAGGGGAUGGGUCCCGCGGCCCAUCAGCUAGUUGGUAGGGUAACGGCCUACCAAGGCGAAGACGGGUAGCUGGUCUGAGAGGAUGAUCAGCCACACUGGAACUGAGACACGGUCCAGACUCCUACGGGAGGCAGCAGUGGGGAAUCUUGCGCAAUGGACGAAAGUCUGACGCAGCGACGCCGCGUGAGUGAUGAAGGCC